rnacentral:lncRNA from 1 species
AUUGUAAGAGACAAAGCUCCAAAGAGAUGGAUUUCAGACUUCCCUUGAUUGUUGUGUCUGUGCUGUUGGGUGUUGCAGCCACUGAUGACACUAACACGUACACGUGUGCGUGCCUGAUGAACGUCAUCGACGGCCAGCUCCGCAAGCCCUUUGCUAUAGUACCGGGGCCUGAGGUUACAACCAGAAAUGGCCCGUGUGAUGCUGAGCUGAUGUGCAGAACACCAUGCAACGCCAUCCUUCACAAUUACGUGAGAUCUAAUAGUGUGGCAGAGGAUGCCUGUGCCACAGUUAUGCCCCCUCCAAAUGGGCAAUGGGAGAUUGGUCUGUUUGCUACGAUAAUGGACAAUCCCUGCGUAUUACAAAUCCUGUUCCCCAUCCCAUUGAGCUUCAGGUGUGAAAAUGGGACCUUGGUGGAUCAAAUACCUCUUAAUAUGAGAACAUAUUUCAUAGAAGGCCUGACUGAGGUGCUGAUGUAGAAUUAGUGAAAUGUCUGCCCUCAGUGGAAGUCAGGGAGGAGGGGGGUGAAUGUCACUCAUCUUCAGGUGUUACAUUACAAACAUGACACCAAUAAAUAAAGUCUGAAAGGUUUCAAUAAGAACUGUGUGGUUUUGUUACAUAUUUGAAUUGCCAAAGCCCUAGUUUUCUUUCUCUACCUUUAUGUUUAAGGCAAAGCUCCUCCAUUUUAAGAGGAAAGCAUUCCUCUUUCACAAAUUCUCAAUAAUCGCACGGAUUAUGAGAAAGAUUGAAAAACGGUAAAAAAAAAAUUCUGAAAAGUCCAGA